rnacentral:rRNA from 1 species
UACUCGAGUGGCGAACGGGUGAGUAACACGUGGGUGAUCUGCCCUGCACUUCGGGAUAAGCUUGGGAAACUGGGUCUAAUACCGGAUAGGAGCCAUCUUUAGUGUGGUGGUUGGAAAGUUUUUUCGGUGUAGGAUGAGCUCGCGGCCUAUCAGCUUGUUUGUGGGGUAAUGGCCUACCAAGGCGGCGACGGGUAGCCGGCCUGAGAGGGUGUACGGCCACAUUGGGACUGAGAUACGGCCCAG